GUGAGUUUAGUUUAAAAGAAACAACCUUUGAUUUGCAUUCAAAAAAUUUAGGUUUAAGACCUAAAAUUUACA
rnacentral:tRNA from 1 species